rnacentral:lncRNA from 1 species
UUCUCCUUCCUGCCACCAUGUGAAAAAGGACAUGUUUGCUUCUCCUUCUGCCAUGAUUUUCCCCUAUAUUCUCACCAGUAACUAAAAGCAUAGUGUCCAGAAUGAAUCUAAGUAGAAGAAGGGAAGACGAGAAGGACACAAGAAGGAAGACAAGGAAAAAUGUCGACCUCAAAGAACUAGAGGAACAACACUGGAGUUAUACGAAACACCCAGAAUUAGAAUCAGAGCAAUUUGAUUGGAUUUACUACAGCUGAUUCUAGAUACAAGAACUUUACCGAGCCAUUUACAAUUUUUGUGCUUCAAUUUCAUCAUUUUAAAACAGAAAGAAAGCAUUUACCUUAUACGCUUGUUGCUUAGAUUAUAAAGGAAUUAUCUAUAUAAAAAGUACAAUAAAGAAGAAUAUAAAUGUAAGAAUGUAGAGGGUCACAAACAUUGUUUGAAAUAUCCAUGCUUUUCAUUUUGGAGUGAAAAGAGGAAAAAUACUAACUGUAAAAUUAAAUUCAUUACUAUAUCAAAGUCAAGCCUGCCUAUCAAGUCAUUUGACAGUUAAAAAUGUUUUGUUUAUCCCAUAAACUUUAUGAAAAAACUAGUUCAUUGCCAAAGGGAUGUUACUUACAGCAAAAUCUCUAGAAGCUCUGAAAUAGAAUUUGAGUUUUAUUUGCAUUUUAUUUUUACAUUCUUACUACUCUACUAACUACAUUCUGCCUAAGUAAAUAUGCUCAAAGCUUUAAAAGUAGGCUGAAUGAAUCACUGGUGGAAAAAUAA